CAGAAGGGAGCCCCGCUCCUGCCCUUGCUGGGGGAAGGCCGCUGAAUUUGCAUUUUAGGAGCCCUCAGAGGCUGUGCCGCGGGGAGGCUGUGUCGGAGAGSAACGUGAGGCCGGGACUCCCCACCCCGCACUGUUUUUAGCUGGAGGAUCUUGUCAAGAAACCCACAAACGGGCUGAAACUGGAGGCUGGGUGAAUAAAGCAAUCAGUGGAUGGAUCAGCUUUUYACCGGGGCUAGUUUCCCUCCCCGUAGUUCAGUUUUUCAUAGCUCCGCCUUUCUUUUUGCUGUAGCACRGUCCCUUUGCCAAGAGAAAUGGCUCCGCUGGAGAGAGAAGUGAAGCCACACCUGCUGCAAGUGGCAGCGAGAAAAGGAGCUCAGAGGGCUGGGGGAGAGGGACCGAGGGAUAUUUCCACCAGACCUYCCACGAAGAAGAAGAUACUGUCCCUUCCCUAACUUGGCCAGUCGUAAGGCAAAUGUCUUCAGACUGCCUCCAAGGCAAAGGCAAAACAUCUCCAUGCGCUGCCAGGGGUAAUGAGGACUAUCGGGUGAACCUAGUUUUACAUCAGAAGAUCAGGGCCAUCUUUCAGCCGAACGCUGCUGCUCUGAAAGACCUCCGAGCCAGUGUGUUGGAGACACACCAACAAGAAAGGCAACGCCAAUGGCAAAAACAGUGCCCAAACCAAACAACUGAAGUAAAAGAAGC
rnacentral:lncRNA from 1 species